rnacentral:lncRNA from 13 species
AGAUGGCUAACAGGGGCCCUAGCUACGGCUUAAGCCGAGAGGUGCAGGAGAAGAUCGAGCAGAAGUACGAUGCGGACCUGGAGAACAAGCUGGUGGACUGGAUCAUCCUGCAGUGCGCCGAGGACAUCGAGCACCCGCCCCCCGGCAGGGCCCAUUUUCAGAAAUGGUUGAUGGACGGGACGGUCCUGUGCAAGCUGAUAAACAGUUUAUACCCACCAGGACAAGAGCCCAUACCCAAGAUCUCAGAGUCAAAGAUGGCUUUUAAGCAGAUGGAGCAAAUCUCCCAGUUUCUAAAAGCUGCAGAGACCUAUGGUGUCCGAACCACUGACAUUUUUCAGACGGUGGAUCUAUGGGAAGGGAAGGACAUGGCGGCUGUGCAGAGGACCCUGAUGGCUUUAGGCAGUGUCGCAGUCACCAAGGAUGAUGGCUGCUAUCGGGGAGAGCCUUCCUGGUUUCACAGGAAAGCUCAGCAGAACCGGAGAGGCUUUUCCGAGGAGCAGCUUCGCCAGGGACAGAACGUCAUAGGCCUGCAGAUGGGCAGCAACAAGGGAGCCUCCCAAGCGGGCAUGACAGGGUACGGGAUGCCCAGGCAGAUCAUGUAGGACGCCGCAUCCUGCCCCCGCUGGAGAGGACGGAUGUUCCCCACCACGGUCGCUGUGAAAAAGAAAUAGUUAGCCACCUUCUGACCUUCUCCUCUUUCUCAAAGCCUCCUGCCCCUGGUUUUUGCAAGUGCUGCAUUUCUGCCGAGAAUCCACGUUGCCUACCGCUGCCACCUCCUGUUCAUUUAGAACUAUGCAAAGACUCCGCUUCCCUUUUCCCGAGCUCCUCGGCCCCAAAGUCUCUGUUUGAUUAUUUAUUUAUUUAUUUGCCAAAAAUUCUCAUCUUCAACUUAUAGAAUGCACCUAAUAAAGCAAUUAGUCUUGUGUCUUACA